rnacentral:rRNA from 1 species
CCCUUAGAUGUUCUGGGCCGCACGCGCGUUACACUGAUGCAUUCAACGAGCUUAUAACCUUGGCCGAGAGGCCUGGGCAAUCUUGUUAACGUGCAUCGUGAUAGGGAUAGAUUAUUGAAAUUAUUAAUCUUGAACGAGGAAUUCCUAGUAAACGCAGAUCAUCAAUCUGCAUUGAUUACGUCCCUGCCCUUUGUACACACCGCCCGUCGCACCUACCGAUUGGAUGGUCCGGUGAAGCCUCGGGAUUGUGGUUCUUGCCGCUUUAUUGUGGCGCGACCGCGAGAACUUGUCUAAACCUUAUCAUCUAGAGGAAGGUGAAGUCGUAACA